rnacentral:rRNA from 1 species
CCUACGGGUGGCAGCAGUGGGGAAUUGUUCGCAAUGGGCGCAAGCCUGACGACGCAACGCCGCGUGGGGGAUGAAGGUCUUCGGAUUGUAAACCCCUGUUGGGUGGGACGCGGUACCACCUGAGGAAGCCCCGGCUAACUCUGUGCCAGCAGCCGCGGUAAUACAGAGGGGGCAAGCGUUGUUCGGAAUUACUGGGCGUAAAGGGCGCGUAGGCGGCCUGUUAAGUCAGACGUGAAAUCCCUCGGCUCAACCGGGGAACUGCGUCUGAUACUGGCGGGCUUGAAUUCGGGAGAGGGAUGUGGAAUUCCAGGUGUAGCGGUGAAAUGCGUAGAUAUCUGGAGGAACACCGGUGGCGAAGGCGGCAUCCUGGACCGCUUGACGCUGAGGCGCGAAAGCCAGGGGAGCAAACGGGAUUAGAUACCCUUGUAGUC